rnacentral:rRNA from 1 species
CUCCAAGGGAUACUAGUGAGUUAGGGAUCGGGAGGAGGCAGAAGUACUCUUUGGGUAGCGGUAAAAUGUGAUAAUCCUUAGAGGACUACCUGUGGCGAAGGCGUCUGCCUAGAACGAAUCCGACAGUGAGGGACGAAAGCCAGGGGAGCAAAAGGGAUUAGAUACCCCCGUAGUCCUGGCUGUAAACUCUGCGAACUAUGUGUUGCAUAUUCUUUGAGGAUAUGCAGUGCCGGAGCGAAGGUGUUAAGUUCGCCGCCUGGGAAGUACGAUCGCAAGAUUGAAACUUAAAGGAAUUGGCGGGGGCGCGCUACAAGGAGUGGAACGUGCGGAUUAAUCAGAUUAUACACCGUGAACCUCACCAGGAACGACGGCAGGAUGAAGGUCAGAUUGAAGGUUUUACCUGACGCGCCGAGAGGAGGUGCAUGGCCGCCGUCAGUUCGUGCUGUAAAGUGUCCAGUUAAGUCUGGCAACGAACAAGACCUGUAUCCAUAGUUGCGACCGAGUCCUCCGGGAUGAUCGAGCACA